rnacentral:rRNA from 1 species
AAACCGUUCAGGGGUAAACCUAAGAAACCCAAAAGAUCGAAUGGGGAGAUUCAUCGUCGACGGCGCUGGCUACCGUUGGUGCGCGAUGCUCCGGGUGGACCCUUGCGGUUCCAUUAGCGUGUGGCACACCACCUUCGGAUCGAACGUUCCGGCGUCGUAGUCGUGCACUUCUCCCCUAGUAGGACGUCGCGACCCGUUGUGUGUCGGUCUACGGCCCGAGUGGGCGCCUGUCGCGUCGUUUCGGCGCACGCGACAGACCCUCGGUCGCCCGGCCGGCUGCACGACGGUACACUCACGGUAUCGGGCCGCAACCAGUCCAUUCUCGAAUGUGUGUGCGUCCAACCCGCCGCAAGCUCGGUCAGUUCUUACCCGGAGGUACGGACCCUGUGCCGUCCCCGGGCCUGGCCAGCUGUUAGCAGGCGGUGUCCUCGGACUGGCCAAAUCUCAGAUUACCGGUCGGCGACGCUAUUGCUUUGGGUACUCUCAGGACCCGUCUUGAAACACGGACCAAGGAGUCUAACAUGUGCGCGAGUCAUUGGGAUGCAUAAACCUAAAGGCGAAAUGAAAGUGAAAGUCGGCCUUCGCGCCGAUCGAGGGAGGAUGGGCCGCGUAACCAUGCGGCCUCGCACUCCCGGGGCGUCUCGUUCUCAUUGCGAGAAGAGGCGCACCUAGAGCGUACACGUUGGGACCCGAAAGAUGGUGAACUAUGCCUGGUCAGGACGAAGUCAGGGGAAACCCUGAUGGAGGUCCGUAGCGAUUCUGACGUGCAAAUCGAUCGUCGGAACUGGGUAUAGGGGCGAAAGACUAAUCGAA